UACGUAGGGGGCAAGCGUUGUCCGGAAUUAUUGGGCGUAAAGAGCUCGUAGGCGGUCUGUCGCGUCGGCUGUGAAAACCCGAGGCUCAACCUCGGGCCUGCAGUCGAUACGGGCAAACUAGAGUACUGCAGGGGAGACUGGAAUUCCUGGUGUAGCGGUGAAAUGCGCAGAUAUCAGGAGGAACACCGGUGGCGAAGGCGGGUCGCUGGGCAGGAACUGACGCUGAGGAGCGAAAGCGUGGGGAGCGAACAGG
rnacentral:rRNA from 1 species